rnacentral:rRNA from 1 species
CCUACGGGUGGCUGCAGUGGGGAAUAUUGGACAAUGGGGGGAACCCUGAUCCAGCCAUGCCGCGUGCGUGAAGAAGGCCCUCGGGUUGUAAAGCACUUUCAGUGAGGAAGAACGCCUGGUGGUUAAUACCCAUCAGGAAAGACAUCACUCACAGAAGAAGCACCGGCUAACUCCGUGCCAGCAGCCGCGGUAAUACGGAGGGUGCGAGCGUUAAUCGGAAUUACUGGGCGUAAAGCGCGCGUAGGUGGCUUGAUAAGCCGGUUGUGAAAGCCCCGGGCUCAACCUGGGAACGGCAUCCGGAACUGUCAAGCUAGAGUGCAGGAGAGGAAGGUAGAAUUCCCGGUGUAGCGGUGAAAUGCGUAGAGAUCGGGAGGAAUACCAGUGGCGAAGGCGGCCUUCUGGACUGACACUGACACUGAGGUGCGAAAGCGUGGGUAGCAAACAGGAUUAGAUACCCGGGUAGUC